rnacentral:rRNA from 1 species
AACGAACGCUGGCGGCGCGCCUAAUACAUGCAAGUCGAGCGAGAAGACGUAGCAAUACGUUUGUAAAGCGGCGAACGGGUGAGGAAUACAUGGGUAACCUACCCUCGAGUGGGGAAUAACUAGCCGAAAGGUUAGCUAAUACCGCGUACGCUCCUUGGACUUCGGUUCAGGGGGGAAAGCGAUACCGUGGGUAUCGCGCUCUUGGAUGGGCUCAUGUCCUAUCAGCUUGUUGGUGAGGAACGGCUCACCAAGGCUUCGACGGGUAGCUGGUCUGAGAGGACGAUCAGCCACACUGGCACUGCGACACGGGCCAGACUCCUACGGGAGGCAGCAGUAAGGAAUAUUGCGCAAUGGGCGAAAGCCUGACGCAGCGACGCCGC